CACUUCGUAAAGCAGCUGUGGGGUUUUCAUCUUAAUAUUCGAUAUGCAGAGUUAAAAAAAGGGGGUGCGUCACCAUCAAAAACUUUUUGCAAAAAAUUACGAGCUUGAGAUACGAGUUUCACGAACGAGUUAAAGUGAUUGCUCGAGGUGCAUAUUUGGGAAAAAAAGAGAAUAUAGUAAUAUGAAUACGUUUCGGUUAAUUGCUUUGCUGAUCUUUAUAAGUGUACAAGUAUUGUUGGUUCACACCUUUUUAACAGGAGCAAAGUCAGGUGCAUGGAAAGGAAAAAAAGAAGUUCAAAUGAUAAAACUUGAGAAAAAUAACUUUGUUAAACGAGACUUUUAUAAAGCAAAUAAGAUCCGCUAAAAAAAUAUCAAGAAAAUAAUUUGGCAUCUCGUAAAACAAACAGAAUGUAUAAAAAAUAUGAAGAAAAUAAUUUGGCAUCUCGUAAAAUAAACAGAAUGUAUAAAAAAUUUGUAUGAAAAGAUGUAUUAAAAUUA